AUGAAGAACUUGAAAGACGACAGAACUACUAUUUUGCCCUCAACUGCGAGGGGAGGUAAGGAACUGCCAUCUAGCCCUGCACUAGAUUCUCCUUCCGUUAUUAGUAGGCUUGCGACACCUAAACCUUCUACUGCUAUGAAUUCUGAUAUGUCACAUUUUAUUGAUGAUGCCACUUCUGCUAUGCAUGAUGAAACUACUUCUGUGCGUGAUACUACUUUGCCAUUAGGUGAAUUUCUUGAUGAACAACUUGCUAGAGUUAGGGGAAUGAAAUUAUUGAAGAUGCUAUUAUGGAUUAUAGUGAUGAAGAAGGUUCUCCCAAUGAUUAUGUAUUACCUGUUGUUCCUGAGGGUUAUGUUAUGA
rnacentral:rRNA from 1 species